rnacentral:rRNA from 1 species
UAAAGGAGAGAUCCGGCAUAGGAUGGACAUGCGUCGCAUUAGGUAGACGGCGGGGUAACGGCCCACCGUGCCGACGAUGCGUAGGGGUUCUGAGAGGAAGGCCCCCCACACUGGUACUGAGACACGGACCAGACUCCUACGGGAGGCAGCAGUGAGGAAUAUUGGUCAAUGGCCGAGAGGCUGAACCAGCCAAGUCGCGUGAGGGAAGAAUGUCCUAAGGAUUGUAAACCUCUUUUGUCGGGGAGCAAAAAGGCUCUGCGGAGUCGUAUUGAGAGUACCCGAAGAAAAAGCAUCGGCUAACUCCGUGCCAGCAGCCGCGGUAAUACGGAGGAUGCGAGCGUUAUCCGGAUUUAUUGGGUUUAAAGGGUGCGCAGGCGGCGUGUCAAGCAAGCGGUAAAAUAGCGGGGCUCAACCCCGUCGAGCCGUUUGAACUGGCGCGCUUGAGUUCAGGCGAGGUAGGCGGAAUUCGUGGUGUAGCGGUGAAAUGCAUAGAUAUCACGAAGAACUCCGAUUGCGAAGGCAGCUUACCAGUCUGCGACUGACGCUCAGGCACGAAAGUGUGGGUAUCGAACAGGAUUAGAUACCCUGGUAGUCCACACAGUAAACGAUGAGCGCUAGGUGUCCGG